rnacentral:rRNA from 1 species
UCUCCUGGAAACGGGUGGUAAUGCCGGAUGCUCCGACAUGACGCAUGUCGUGUCGGGAAAGAUUCUAUCGGUAUGGGAUGGGGUCGCGUCCUAUCAGCUUGAUGGCGGGGUAACGGCCCACCAUGGCUUCGACGGGUAGCCGGCCUGAGAGGGCGACCGGCCACAUUGGGACUGAGAUACGGCCCAGACUCCUACGGGAGGCAGCAGUGGGGAAUAUUGCACAAUGGGCGCAAGCCUGAUGCAGCGACGCCGCGUGCGGGAUGACGGCCUUCGGGUUGUAAACCGCUUUUGACUGGGAGCAAGCCCUUCGGGGUGAGUGUACCUUUCGAAUAAGCACCGGCUAACUACGUGCCAGCAGCCGCGGUAAUACGUAGGGUGCAAGCGUUAUCCGGAAUUAUUGGGCGUAAAGGGCUCGUAGGCGGUUCGUCGCGUCCGGUGUGAAAGUCCAUCGCUUAACGGUGGAUCCGCGCCGGGUACGGGCGGGCUUGAGUGCGGUAGGGGAGACUGGAAUUCCCGGUGUAACGGUGGAAUGUGUAGAUAUCGGGAAGAACACCACC